UGGGGAAUAUUGGACAAUGGGCGAAAGCCUGAUCCAGCCAUGCCGCGUGAGUGAUGACGGCCUUAGGGUUGUAAAGCUCUUUCGACGGGGACGAUAAUGACGGUACCCGUAGAAGAAGCCCCGGCUAACUUCGUGCCAGCAGCCGCGGUAAUACGAAGGGGGCUAGCGUUGCUCGGAAUCACUGGGCGUAAAGCGCACGUAGGCGGAUCAUUAAGUCAGGGGUGAAAGCCUGGGGCUCAACUCCAGAACUGCCCUUGAUACUGAUGAUCUUGAGUCCGGAAGAGGUUGGUGGAACUCCGAGUGUAGAGGUGAAAUUCGUAGAUAUUCGGAAGAACACCAGUGGCGAAGGCGGCCAACUGGUCCGGUACUGACGCUGAGGUGCGAAAGCGUGGGGAGCAAACA
rnacentral:rRNA from 1 species